rnacentral:lncRNA from 1 species
AUCUAGUGGAGUAGUCCUUCGUGUUAGUUAUAUAUGCAUUCUCUGCUUGAAACUUGAAAUCCAGACAUCUUCAAAAGGUGAGAUUCCAGUUUCUCACAAACAAGAAACAAUGGUUCAAAGAUCAACAAGCCACAAUGUAGGACUGAAAACAGGGUGAAUAAUUGAAUCGACCAGACUGUGAUUUAUACAUCAGGCUGUGAGCGACCGUGUUGAAAAGCCUCACUGACCAGGCUACCAACCAGAUCAUCUCGUCUCGGGAGAUCAACGCGGAAACGUUGAUCCUUGGAAUCACCACAAGGUAACCCUGUAUAUUCAUGACUAGCUAUAAUUUAUUACAUAUACCGUAACACUCUAAAUCCAAAGUUAAUACAAAUAUUAAAAAUCGGUAGCAUUUUCAAAUUCCAAUAAAAUGAUUGGUCAAUGUGAGUAUUAUGUUCACAAAUGUGAACGUACACUACAAAGACAGUUCUCGUGCUUUACUAGCUCCACUUUUCCUACAAACCUCCAGUGACAUUAGAGGGAGGAAGCAGAAACUAGUAACAAAUUUUAAAUUGCAAUAUUUUGCUAACACUUGAAAGUAAAGAAAUGUCUAGAAAUUGAGGUGGAUAGGAGUCUGCAUAUACAACUUUCUGCCGAAGGUUGAAGGUUUAUGCAGUAUUUGUUCAAUUACUCAAAGUUUAAUAUGAUAUACAGUAUACAAAUUGAGGAUUAGGCAUCAUACCAAAAAAAUGGACAAGACACCAAGUUCGGCAUUUCUGGGAAAGGAUUCACAAGCAUUUAUGCAUUGUGGAUGUGUAAAUGCUUAAAUCCUGGUCCUAGUUUAAAGAGAAGAUUAUUAUAAUGAUUAUGUCACUAAUGCACAAAUACAAAUGGCCAAUUCUUUCCAAGAUAUUUCAAAUUAUGAAGCAAAUCCUACAUAGGCAUAACAAAUUCCUUGUAAACAAAUAAUUUAAAGGCAUUAACUUGUAUGUUAAUACCUUUAGAUUAUAAACCUUAAGAACUCCAGUUUUUUUCAUAUAAAACUUGAAAAUCAUGAACUCGUAUAAAAAAAUACUAAAAUUAUGCUCAUAAAUGACAGAAACUUUGUUUAAAAAAAAUUGGGUGUAAAACAAAUCGAUAAAUGAAAUUAAUGUCCAGUACUAGGUAUCAAAUAUUAAGACAUUUUUAACAGUACAGUGGGCUGUAUUUUCAGGAAUACUGUUUGUUCUCUACUCUUAAAGAGUCCUGCACAAAACAAAAAUGAGUACUGUAUAUACUAUAUCCUAAACUGUCAUGAAUAAUCAGACAAAACUAAAAUGCAUUGUCUAGCCAUUAGUAUUUCUUUAAUGUAGUGUCCAAUCAAGAACCCUAAGCAACAGUCCUCAUGGAAUGCAUACAUUUUAUGUUUUGUGCGUGGGAGGUGAGACGAGCAGUGUACUACUUCAAAGUAGUUUGAGCAACAUGCAACAAAUAUUUAGUAAAGGUGCACCAUGCAGGCCUGAGUGGGAAGGGGGGUUAUCUUGAGAUGAUUUCGGGGCUUUAGUGUCCCCGCGGCCCGGUCUUCGACCAGGCCUCCACCCCCAGGAAGCAGCCUGUGACAGCUGACUAACACCCAGGUACCUAUUUUACUGCUAG